rnacentral:misc_RNA from 1 species
GAAAUGCGAUAAGUAAUGUGAAUUGCAGAAUUCAGUGAAUCAUCGAAUCUUUGAACGCACAUUGCGCCCGCCAGUAUUCUGGCGGGCAUGCCUGUUCGAGCGUCAUUUCAACCAUCAAGCCCCCGGGCCUGUGUUGGGGACCUGCGGCCGCCGCAGGCCCCGAAAAGCAGUGGCGGGCUCGCUGUCACCCCGAGCGUAGUAGUAAUCACCUCGCUUAGGGCGUGCUGUGAGCGCCGCAUCGAUGAAGAAC